UGGGGAAUAUUGGACAAUGGGGGCAACCCUGAUCCAGCGACGCCGCGUGUGUGAAGAAGGCCUGCGGGUUGUAAAGCACUUUUAGUGGGGAUGAAAAGCUCAGGGCUAAUACCUCUGGGUCUUGACCUAACCCAAAGAAAAAGCACCGGCUAACUCUGUGCCAGCAGCCGCGGUAAUACAGAGGGUGCGAGCGUUAAUCGGAAUUACUGGGCGUAAAGCGUGCGUAGACGGUUACAUAAGUCGGGUGUGAAAGCCCCGGGCUCAACCUGGGAAUUGCAUUCGAGACUGCGUAGCUAGGGUGCGGAAGAGGGAAGCGGAAUUUCAGGUGUAGCGGUGAAAUGCGUAGAUAUCUGAAGGAACACCAGUGGCGAAAGCGGCUUCCUGGUCCAGCACCGACGUUCAGGCACGAAAGCGUGGGGAGCAAACAGGAUUAGAUACCCUGGUAGUCCACGCCAUAAACGAUGAGAACUAGACGUUGAGAGGGUAAGCCUCCCAGUGUCGUAGCUAACGCGCUAAGU
rnacentral:rRNA from 1 species